GAUGAACGCUGGCGGCGUGCCUAAUACAUGCAAGUCGAGCGAACAGACGAGGCUCUUGCUUGUCUGACGUUAGCGGCGGGCGGGUGAGUAACACGUGGAUACCCUACCUAUAAGACUGGGAUAACUUCGGGAAAGCGGAGCUAACACCGGAUAAGAUAUUGAACCGCAUGGUUCUUUGGUGAAAGACGGUUUUGCUGUCACUAAUAGAGGGUUCCGCGCCGUAUUGGCUAGUUGGUACGGUAACGGCUUACCAAGGCUACGAUGCGUAGCCGACCUGAGAGGGUGAUCGGCCACACUGGAACUGAGACACGGUCCAGACUCCUACGGGAGGCAGCAGUAGGGAAUCGUCCGCAAUGGGCGAAAGCCUGACGGAGCAACGCCGCGUGUGUGAUGAAGGUCUUCGGAUCGUAAAGCUCUGUUAGUAGGGAAGAACAAAUGUGUAAGUAAAUAUGCCCGUCUUGACGGUACCUAGUCAGAAAGCCACGGCUAACUACGUG
rnacentral:rRNA from 1 species